AAAUAAACCCGACAGCAGCGGGCACGAAGUAAAGCGGAUGGCGGGACUUGCU
rnacentral:sRNA from 1 species